rnacentral:lncRNA from 1 species
UGAAUAGAGAUUGAACAUAGUUCCUCCUCUUCUGUGCGGCCGCAAUUCUAUGAAAAAACAAGUGUUUAUCCCUGUCGAGCAACCAUUAUUUUUCAGAUCUUUGCUGCCAGUGUAACUCUUAUUUCUUCUGGAUUUCAUUUAACCGAGCCUUGGUACUUCAUCUUAGAUCCUGGAAUUCCUCUGAGAUGCUACCCUUUUCCUCCAACUUGUCGAGUAUCAAAUUUUUGCAAGAGGAUGUUCUUCACAUUUCUUUUUUCAACCUUCAACUCCAUUGACCAAGUGCUAAGCUUCUGUUGCAAUUAUCUGAGGUUCAUGGUCCAUUGCUUCUGGAAGUAAAUAAAUAUCUUCUGCUUUCAUUCAUGUAUCACAAAUUAUGCUGUCCGGCUCUUCCUGCUUAGUCCACUAUUUUUUCAAGUCAAAAACAUUUUUGAACUGGUGGUCUUUUGCAUGCAUGCAAGCCAAUCGAGACACGAC